AGAGGCAGCGCCCGACUUCGGGUCUGUAGCUCAGUUGGUUAGAGCGCACCCCUGAUAAGGGUGAGGUCGGCAGUUCGAAUCUGCCCAGACCCACCAGUUUACUGGGGAGAUAGCUGGUCAGAGUAGACGCCUCCACGGUAUGUAGAAAUACGGGGCCAUAGCUCAGCUGGGAGAGCGCCUGCCUUGCACGCAGGAGGUCAGCGGUUCGAUCCCGCUUGGCUCCACCACUUACUGCUUCUGUUUGAAAGCUUAGAAAUGAGCAUUCCACCCUGCAAAACAAAGGGUGCGUGAAUGUUGAUUUCUAGUCUUUGAUUAGAUCGUUCUUUAAAAAUUUGGGUAUGUGAUAGAAAGAAAUAUAGACCGGGCACCUCUUUCACUGGUGUGUGUCCGGGCUAAGGUAAAGUUUGUGAAUGCAAACUUUCGGCGAAUGUCGUCUUCACAGUAUAACCAGAUUGCUUGGGGGUUAUAUUGUCAAGGGAAGAAGGCGGCAUGAC
rnacentral:tRNA from 1 species